rnacentral:rRNA from 1 species
AUUGAACGCUGGCGGCAUGCUUUACACAUGCAAGUCGAACGGUAACAGGCCGCAAGGUGCUGACGAGUGGCGAACGGGUGAGUAAUGCAUCGGAACGUGCCCAGUCGUGGGGGAUAACGCAGCGAAAGCUGUGCUAAUACCGCAUACGAUCUAUGGAUGAAAGCGGGGGACCGUAAGGCCUCGCGCGAUUGGAGCGGCCGAUGUCAGAUUAGGUAGUUGGUGGGGUAAAGGCUCACCAAGCCAACGAUCUGUAGCUGGUCUGAGAGGACGACCAGCCACACUGGGACUGAGACACGGCCCAGACUCCUACGGGAGGCAGCAGUGGGGAAUUUUGGACAAUGGGCGCAAGCCUGAUCCAGCAAUGCCGCGUGCGGGAAGAAGGCCUUCGGGUUGUAAACUGCUUUUGUACGGAACGAAACGGUCCUGGUUAAUACCUGGGGCUAAUGACGGUACCGUAAGAAUAAGCACCGGCUAACUACGUGCCAGCCGCCGCCGUAACAC